UGAGCAAUCUGCCCUUCUCUUUGGAAUAAGCGUUGGAAACGACGUCUAAUGCCGAAUACGACCUCCUUUCGCAUGAUCGGAGGUGGAAAGCUCCGGCGGAGAAGGAUGAGCUCGCGGCCUAUCAGCUAGUUGGUGUGGGUAAUGGCCCACCAAGGCGACGACGGGUAGCCGGCCUGAGAGGGUGACCGGCUACACUGGGACUGAGACACGGCCCAGACUCCUACGGGAGGCAG
rnacentral:rRNA from 1 species